GUCUGGGGUACCUCCGAAUAUGGCCCUGCCGUUCCAGGCUUGCAUGCUGUCCAGCCACCAUGAUAGUUCUUCGCGAACCUCCGUCGUCACCGGGACGGGUUGAUCGUACGUGCGCCUGCGGCGUAGGUAUCUUGCUUUGAGGCGUUGCAUGGCUCUGUAGUGGAGGGGACCCGGAAAUAUGGCUUGAAUGGAGGCGGAGAGGAGUCCAACGAUCCUGGCCAGGUUGCGUAGUGGGAUGGAAUCGCGACGGAGAACUCUGCGAAUCUCCU